rnacentral:rRNA from 1 species
AAAUUGAAGAGUUUGAUCAUGGCUCAGAUUGAACGCUGGCGGCAGGCCUAACACAUGCAAGUCGAACGGUAACAGGAAGCAGCUUGCUGCUUUGCUGACGAGUGGCGGACGGGUGAGUAAUGUCUGGGAAACUGCCUGAUGGAGGGGGAUAACUACUGGAAACGGUAGCUAAUACCGCAUAAUGUCGCAAGACCAAAGAGGGGGACCUUCGGGCCUCUUGCCAUCGGAUGUGCCCAGAUGGGAUUAGCUUGUUGGUGGGGUAACGGCUCACCAAGGCGACGAUCCCUAGCUGGUCUGAGAGGAUGACCAGCCACACUGGAACUGAGACACGGUCCAGACUCCUACGGGAGGCAGCAGUGGGGAAUAUUGCACAAUGGGCGCAAGCCUGAUGCAGCCAUGC